rnacentral:rRNA from 1 species
CCUACGGGCGGCAGCAGUGGGGAAUAUUGCACAAUGGGCGCAAGCCUGAUGCAGCCAUGUCGCGUGUGUGAAGAAGGCCUUCGGGUUGUAAAGCACUUUCAGCGGGGAGGAAGGCGUUAAGGUUAAUAACCUUGUCGAUUGACGUUACCCGCAGAAGAAGCACCGGCUAACUCCGUGCCAGCAGCCGCGGUAAUACGGAGGGUGCAAGCGUUAAUCGGAAUUACUGGGCGUAAAGCGCACGCAGGCGGUCUGUCAAGUCGGAUGUGAAAUCCCCGGGCUCAACCUGGGAACUGCAUUCGAAACUGGCAGGCUAGAGUCUUGUAGAGGGGGGUAGAAUUCCAGGUGUAGCGGUGAAAUGCGUAGAGAUCUGGAGGAAUACCGGUGGCGAAGGCGGCCCCCUGGACAAAGACUGACGCUCAGGUGCGAAAGCGUGGGGAGCAAACAGGAUUAGAUACCCUUGUAGUC